UUUCCAAUUAUUUAUUCUCUUUAGUUUCUUUCAAUGUGUUCAACACCAUCUUAAGGGUGUCUCUUCUCUUCCCAAAAACUUCUGAGGAAAAAAGAGUUGUCUCUGUUCCUUUCCACAAUGCUCCAGCGUUGUGUUUCAAUUAAAACCUUCACUUCACUCAAAACCAAAAUCAGCACUCAAAUCUUGCUUUCUUUUGAAUGUCGUUGUGUUCUUAAUCUUCCAUCUAAAUUCUGUGUAAUGAGAUUUACCCGAAGGUUGAGAGAAACAAGAUUUGCAGAAAAAAUGGCGCGCGCGCACGCACCUGAAGGGGAAAGAUCGACGUGAUUAGAAAGACUGUGGGUCUUAUAAUACGAACCAUGGCAUUUGUUUGACAUCAUUCCAAGUCGGGAACUGUUUGAUGACUAACUGAACCUGAAGCAAGAAAGUAUUUUCAGCAGCUUAUAUGUAGUGGAUUGGAGAUUACUCUCACGGUAGAGGUCCUUGACAUAGAAACUUAAAUGUGGAGAAUUUCUUGGUGUAUGACAAUAGAGUGCAUAAAGUAUCGUGAAGAUUUUGAAUUGAGUGCACAAAUCGAUCUCUGGUCAUGUAGUGUUAUCAUUUGGAAGAGUAAGUGAGAGAGGCAAACUGCAAUUAGAAAAGUUGAUAGAGGCAGAAGCUCAGUUUCACGAAACCAUAUAUAUACAAAUACAGUAAUGCUCAAAUGGGUUGCCAAACUUGCAAUUUUUGUAUUUCUUUAGCUUUUAAUUUCUCAAGGCUGAUGGAGAAGAUCCGGUCUCCUAUUUUGCAGGGGUGAGCAGACGUUUUUUAUACCUGUUUUAUACAAAGGGAUAAAUGGGUUAGGUUAGAUUUUACAAGUUGUAUAUUAUGUAGAUUUAUAUUUCUACUAAAAU
rnacentral:sRNA from 1 species